UGAGUAACCUGCCCUUGACUCUGGGAUAAGCCUGGGAAACUGGGUCUAAUACCGGAUAUGACUCCUCAUCGCAUGGUGGGGGGUGGAAAGCUUUAUUGUGGUUUUGGAUGGACUCGCGGCCUAUCAGCUUGUUGGUGAGGUAAUGGCUCACCAAGGCGACGACGGGUAGCCGGCCUGAGAGGGUGACCGGCCACACUGGGACUGAGACACGGCCCAGACUCCUACGGGAGGCAG
rnacentral:rRNA from 1 species